AAUUUCACUGCCAAGCUUGUAGUCAUCCUGACUGGUUGAAAUAUAUCUUAAUUAUAGGUGGAGGUUGCUUUGAAACUUUCAAAGAUGGAGGAAUUCACCGGUCGAUCUGCUCCAACGGUCAUCACAUAAAUGCAUACCUCAUUGCACCAAGCAGUCAUUUCUUAUUGUCUGUCAACAUUUCCAUUCCAAUGUUACUUUUAUGAGUAGCCAACCUGUACUGUUGGUUGUUUUCAGCCCUUUUCUAGUAGUAUGGGCACUUGAGUGGAAUUUGUGUUACUUUAACUAAAUUUUGUUAUGCUAAAUAAUUUGAAACUGCCGUGUGCUGAUUAUACUUGUUCUUAACAUAAAUAUUUCCUCAUUUGUUGUAAAGAUUUGAAUUUAGCAUUGUCUUGAAAUAAUUGUUAAUAUCAGUUCACCUUUUUCAAGUGGAUUUAAUGCGGACUUUUCUUUCCAUUGAUACAUUCACUUUUUCCUCCAUACCUCAUUCUUAUUACAAGAUCUGCUAACUAUUUUAUUUUCUCACCUUCACUUUACUUCCCUAGAUCUUCCGUCUCUCUGGAACUGGAUCAGAAGGUGCUACUAUUCGACUAUACAUUGAGCAAUAUGAGAAAGAUCCAUCAAAGAUUGGGAGACUUUCACAUGAAGCACUUGCUCCUCUUGUAAGAUGCUUACAAUAGUUUAAAUAUAAAUUUCACUGCCAAGCUUGUAGUCAUCCUGACUGGUUGAAAUAUAUCUUAAUUAUAGGUGGAGGUUGCUUUGAAACUUUCAAAGAUGGAGGAAUUCACCGGUCGAUCUGCUCCAACGGUCAUCACAUAAAUGCAUACCUCAUUGCACCAAGCAGUCAUUUCUUAUUGUCUGUCAACAUUUCCAUUCCAAUGUUACUUUUAUGAGUAGCCAACCUGUACUGUUGGUUGUUUUCAGCCCUUUUCUAGUAGUAUGGGCACUUGAGUGGAAUUUGUGUUACUUUAACUAAAUUUUGUUAUGCUAAAUAAUUUGAAACUGCCGUGUGCUGAUUAUACUUGUUCUUAACAUAAAUAUUUCCUCAUUUG
rnacentral:lncRNA from 1 species